rnacentral:rRNA from 1 species
UACGGAGGGUGCAAGCGUUAAUCGGAAUUACUGGGCGUAAAGCGUGCGCAGGCGGUUUUGUAAGUCUGCUGUGAAAUCCCCGGGCUCAACCUGGGAAUGGCAGUGGAUACUGGGAGGCUAGAGUGUGUCAGAGGAUGGUGGAAUUCCCGGUGUAGCGGUGAAAUGCGUAGAGAUCGGGAGGAACAUCAGUGGCGAAGGCGGCCAUCUGGGACAACACUGACGCUGAGGCACGAAAGCGUGGGGAGCAAACAGG